UUUCUCAUACACCCUUUUUUAUAUAUUUUUUUUAUAAUGGUGGUGUUCGGGCUAAUUUGUUUGUGCUUCUUGAUUAGUUUUACGAGAUAUCUGCUUGUGCUUCUGGAUUAGUUUUACGAGAUAUUUGCUACUUCCCACCAGUAUAGUGUAGCUAUAGGGUAACUAUAUUAGUAGGAGGAGUACUCUUGAAAGUGUUACUAGGUGGCUUGAUGAGCUUAAUAGUAAGUUUUCUUAUACACCCUUUCUUUUAUUUUAUUGGAAAUAUUGAAACUUUUUUACUUUUUACUAGUCCUACUAUUAGUGGUAGGCUGGUAGCAUUAUCCUUGUAGUUUCUUGUCUUUUGAGUUUGGUUAUUAUUUGUGGUUUCUUUUGCACUUUGGUUAUGUCUAAUGUUUAGGGUGAUUUGUUAGGUUGUCUAUAGCUUUUUGCCAUGACUCUUUGUUUCAGUUAUUUCGUUCUCUAUAUAUAUUGAUUUGGACCGGAUAUUCUUGGUACGACCUGUGUACACUUUGCACCUCCCGGACCCCUCUUUGUGUAAUUACACUGUGUAUGUUGUUAUGUUGUGUAAUCGUGGUGUUCGGGUCAGUUCGUUGGUGCUUUUGGAUUGGUUUUACGAGAGAUAUCUGUUACCUGACACCAGUAUAGUGUCGUUAUAGGGUAACUAUAUUUGUAGGAGUACCUUUGAAAGUGUUACUAGGUGGCUUGAUGAGCUUAAUACUCAUUGCGAUACAACAGUCGCGAAGAUGCUGAUAGGAAACAAAUGUGAUUUGGACAACAUUAGAGACGUUAGUAUUGAAGAAGGCGCUAAGCUUGCAGAAGCCGAAGGAUUGUUCUUCAUGGAGACAUCUGCAUUAGAUUCUACAAACGUUAACAAGGCUUUCGAGAUUGUCAUCCGUGAAAUCUACAGCAAUGUCAGCCGUAAGGUCUUGAAUUCGGAUUCCUACAAGGCCGAGUUAUCUAUCAACAGGGUAAGCCUCGUAAAAGACGAUGCAGAAGGAUCGAAACGAUCUUGGAGCAGUUGUUGUUCAACAUGAACUAACAUUUUGUAUUGUUGGUUCAAAGAUUAAGAGAUUUUUCAGUAUUUAUUCAAUUCAUUAACACAGUGAAUUGAUUAAAUGUCUCUUAACUCUGGUUAAGCGAUAUGCGUUUUCACUUUUAAGUUGUACUAUUCGUAAAGGAUACAUUGUUCGAUUUGAUGUAAACACCAGGGUACGAGCAAAUAUUUUUUUCGGAUAGGCGGACUAAAUGUACUUUAGAUUUCUACUUGAAAGUUUAUAGCAUGUCUGAAUCAUGCAUUUAUGUGCAA